UACGUAGGGGGCAAGCGUUGUCCGGAAUUAUUGGGCGUAAAGAGCGCGUAGGCGGUCCGAUAAGUCGGCUGUGAAAGUCAGGGGCUCAACCCUUGAAAGCCGGCCGAUACUGUCGGACUAGAGUCCGGAAGAGGCAAGUAGAAUUCCCGGUGUAGCGGUGAAAUGCGCAGAUAUCGGGAGGAACACCAAUGGCGAAGGCAGCUCGCUGGGACGUUACUGACGCUGAGACGCGAAAGCGUGGGGAGCAAACAGG
rnacentral:rRNA from 1 species